UACGUAGGGUGCAAGCGUUGUCCGGAAUUAUUGGGCGUAAAGGGUGCGUAGGCGGUCGCGCAAGUCGGAUGUGAAAUCUCGGGGCUCAACCCCGAAACUGCAUUCGAUACUGCGUGGCUCGAGUACUGGAGAGGAGACUGGAAUUUACGGUGUAGCAGUGAAAUGCGUAGAUAUCGUAAGGAAGACCAGUGGCGAAGGCGAGUCUCUGGACAGUUACUGACGCUGAGGCACGAAGGCCAGGGGAGCAAACGGG
rnacentral:rRNA from 1 species